rnacentral:rRNA from 1 species
GCUAAGAAUAUUCCGCAAUGGACGAAAGUCUGACGGAGCGACGCCGCGUGGAUGAAGAAGGCCGAAAGGUUGUAAAGUUCUUUUGUUGGGGAAGAAUAAGCGUGGGAGGGAAUGCCCGCGUGAUGACAUGAACCGGCGAAUAAGCCCCGGCUAACUACGUGCCAGCAGCCGCGGUAACACGUAGGGGGCAAGCGUUGUUCGGAAUUACUGGGCGUAAAGGGCAUGUAGGCGGCCUUGUAAGCUUGUCGUGAAAGUCCACGGCUUAACCGUGGGAUUGCGUUGAGAACUGCGAGGCUUGAGUGACGGAGAGGGAGCUAGAAUUCCUGGUGUAGGGGUGGAAUCUGUAGAUAUCAGGAAGAAUACCAAUGGCGAAGGCAAGCUCCUGGCCGAUGACUGACGCUGAGGUGCGAAAGUGUGGGGAUCAAACAGGAUUAGAAACCCGGGUAGUCC